GUUGGGUGGGAGCCCUGAAGAGCCUGUGGAAAGGAAGAGUCUCUAGCUAGGAGCCAGGGCUGCCCUGGCCAGGAAAGACCUGUGGCUGCAGGGAGAGAAAGGAGCUGGACCCUCUGGCUUGUUUUGGGAAGCCACCCCGGGCAGAGGCCCUGACUUUGCACUGACAACAACCCCACCCCAAUCUGGGCCAAGCCCCCCAUGUCCCCCUGAGACGACAGUCUCCCCAGAGAAGUAUGCUAGCCGGGUGGGUUUGGAUCCCUUGUUUUUGUACCCUGAUUUCCAAAGUCUCCCCAAAAGAAGAGCUGGCCCAGAAACACAUCAGCCUGUCCCAGCAAGGACUGGAGGGGCAGGUUUAUUGAGCCUCUCCCCCCUCCACACACACACACACACAGUGCUUCCCAAGAGAGACUCCAAACAAGCCCUGGGACCUUCUUCACAGACUGCCAACUGGCUGUGAAGCCCCAAAUCAGGAGAUGGUAGAAGAGAAGGUGGUCUCCAGGUUGUGAGAUGCCCCACACUCCCCUCCCCCGCCCAGGCAUACCCGUGGCAUCGCUUGGGAAGGAGACCCCCAGAAAAUCAGCAGGAGCCCUGGGAGCAACGGGAAACAGUUUGGGGCCCCCAGCCCCACUGAGGCGGGCAUGGGAAGGGGGCCCGUAUUUCUUUCACAGCGGCCAUCACUGGUAUCACAUUUCCCUGGCCAGUCCAGCUGGGCUACCAUGUUGGGCUCCAAGAUGCCCCGUCCAGCAAAGAGGAGAAGGUGGCACGAGACGAGGCCCCUGCCCCCAAUGCCCAACCCGGGGCUCUGCCAGACCAGCAGUUCUGGCCGAGGGCGGGUGCAGGGCUGGCGGGUGAAUUUCCUAACCCCAGCAGAGGCGACCGCACGGCAAACACAGCAAAUGGGGGCCGGAGGGACGGAAGCCCCCCUGGCCUGGCCCGGCCCCUCCCAAACCCCCCUCCGCAGAACUUUGACCGCGCAGCCCCGGGGGGGGGGAUGGAGGAGGGUAUAAAGGGGGAGCUGCGGCCGCCCCUUCGCCAGUCCGGACAGCUCCUCGGGGAAGCCCAGCCAGAAGCCUACCUCGCAGGGCCGCUGUUUCGGGUUGAAGGACAAGCGUCGCUUUCAGCUCCUGGAGAAAAGGACCCCCGAGGGAAGAUGAGAGUCCCGCUUCUGCUGCUGCUGGCGCUGCUGGCGCUGCUGGCCACCGUUGCACGCGCGGAGGAAGACCAGGAGACGCCGAGGAGCCGUUUCCAGGGCCUUGUCCAGAAGGCACAAGAGCGUGUCGCCACUUUCCAAACAACGGCCGUUUACCAGCAAAUGAGGGAACUGGUAGAGUCUAGCAUUGAACGCACCCUGAAAGCGAUUGAACAACUAAAGGCUCAAGUUGGAAACUUGCUGGAGAGAAAUCCAGCAUGAGUCUGGAGCCCCAUUCCACACCCAGGAGCCCAACGGAGCAAUGGCCACCCUAGCCGUCCUCAGGAGCAGGGGCAGCUCUCCCUACUCCUGGGAUCCCAGCUCUUCUACUCCCCCCCCAAGACCCCUCCCCCUUUCUGGCUUCUCUCUCGUGUGGAAUUUUCCUCAUUAAAACUAGUGGAACAGUUGCAUGCUUGGCUUUCU
rnacentral:lncRNA from 1 species